rnacentral:lncRNA from 1 species
GGACUGCCUUUUCCCCUGCGUGUGGAGUUUUUCUUGAUUCUUCAUAACUGAAUGAUUUGGGAUUGUAUCCUCAUAUUACAUGAUGAGACUGAAUGUUGUUUAAAUCUUAAUGAGGAUGUUGGUAUUUGUGUUUUAAUGAACAACUGAGCCUGUUGGGUUGAGGCUACAAGCUCCACCACUGUCUUCUUGGUUGUCAUUUCAGUGUAGCCUCCACUUUGCAGAUUUAACUCCUGCAUGAGGCAUCUACUAGUCUGGGGUCUAGCCGGUGGUCUCUUUCACUGGAAAGAACCAGAUCCACACACAUCCAGCUCAGGGAUGAGCCUGUAGUUCAAACAGCAUUAUGGAGACGUUUUCCUGAACUUUGAUCCCUUGGUAAUCAUCCCAAUCCUUUUUUUUUCUUUCUUUGUACACCACACUUGUGGCUCAUGGAAGUUCCCAGGCUAGGGGGCGAGUCAGAGCUACAGCUGUAGGCCUACGCCACAGCCACAGCAACACCAGAUCUGAGCCUCGUCUGUGACCUACACCACAGCUGAUGGCAACACCAGGUCCUUAGCCCACUGAGCAGGGCCAGGGAUCGAACCUGCAUCCUCAUGGAUACUAGUUGGGUUUGUUAACCACUGAGCUACGACGGGAGCUCCCCCUGUACUUUUUAAUUUCUUGGUUCUCCCCAUUUUGCUCCUCCAUCCAGAGAGCUGGGCUCCAUUUUUCUUGCUCUAUUGAGCACUCCCACGUAUAGUAGUAUAAAGAUAGAGGGGAAAAAGAGCAGGUUUUUUCCCCCCUUCCCUUCUUGGGAUCACAGCUUCUUCAGUCAAAAAGAAAAUUUCCUUCUCAAGAGUCUUAAGCUUCCUCCUGCUGUUGCUGUCGCUGCCAGGAUCCCCUUUCCUGUUCUAGAGCCUGACCUUCUGGGGUUCUGUUUUCACUGAUGCCCACAUCUUGGCUUGGGGGCUACUCUGAGUCCAAGCCAGGGGAUUUCAGAGGGAAGAAAAAUGCUAAACUUGUAGAUGAUUCGAUGGCACUUCCAGUUAGAGUCUUCCCUCCAACCUGCCUGUGACUUUUUACUUUUCAGAGCUCUCAAAACCUGAUCCAUACAUUAUGCCCUGGCUUUGAAGCUCCAUUCAGUCAGAAAGGCAAGAUAUUGUGUACUUAACCCUAUCUUACACGGACCUCAAAGAGUCUGGCUGUUUUUAAAGCAAGGAAAUAGUCUUAUAAACUAGAAAUAGUUUGGGGCUUUUUCCUAAAAUCAGAGUAACUCAAGUUUGAAACUCUGUUCUUAUUUUAUAAGUUUGACCAAAUAACUUAUGAAAUAAGUAUUAUCCCCUUUUAUGAAGACUUCCAUAAAUUAAAUACAUUCCUUAUGAGCAUACAGCUGGCAACUAGCAUAAGCAGAAUUUGAACCCAGGCUGUGCUCCCUCUAAGGCCCAUUUUUCUUCUAGUACCAUGUGUCGAGAUCUCAUAUCAUCGCUUUAUCACCUGCUAGCAUAAAGCUUAUGCUUUCCUUUCUUAGAUAAUGGUGAUUGAUGGCAGCCCUUAAAUGCUGGAAUUGGAUCAUCAAGUUCCAAUACAAUCUUGUUCAAUAAAACAAUAAAAAACGAAGACAAUUCAUUGCUUUCUAAGCCUUUGUUCUUUCACAGUGAUUUGUGUGGGGCAUCGUCACCUUCUCUGGCUUUAUGCCUUAUCCUUUGAAAAAACAGCAGCCUUAGAAUCCUGACCCUUCACUCCAGUUUUGCAGUUAACCGUCUUGGAAAAGAGACAGAACUGAAGCUACUUGUGCCAAAUGCAGGUAACAUACUUAAAGAAAGGCAGACCAUUCUGUACUUGUGAAAAUGAGGGACACAUUGCUUGCAGCUGAGGCCCAGAGAGAAAUGCAGUAAUUACAUGCACUUUGUCUCUGGAAGACAUCUGCCCAAUCCUUUGGCAGGCAAAGUGUCUGAUAAACAUUGGUUAGUGUUAGGAGAAAAAGUCUGAUUCACCCAAACUCUUGCCUGACUCACUGGAAUAUCUCAAUGAGUUGCUACCUUUUCAUCUGAGGUAAAGAAAGUCCUAUUAUAUUCAGGCUACAGAGAAAAGGGUGACAAAGAUGAUUAAGAAGCUAGGAGGGAAAGAUCUAACAUUUUUAUGGAAGACAGUAGGGAUCUGAAGGCUUUAACUGUCAAUGAGUUUUUGUUUGUUUGCUGUUUAGGGCCAUAGCUGCGGCAUAUAGAAGUUCCCAGGCUAGGGGUCAAAUCGGAGCUGCAGCUGUCAGCCCACAGCAGUGUGGGACUUGAGCCAUAUCUGCAACCUACAACAGAGGUCACAGCAAUGCCGGAUACUUAACCCACUGAGUGAGGCCAGGAAUGGAACCUGCAUCCUCAUGGAUACUAGUUGGGUUCAUAAGCCAUUGAGCCACAACAGGAACUCUUGUCAAUGAGUUUUAAAGUCACUGAGUUGCCACUGUUAGGCAGUGGGCUAAGAAUCCAACUGCAGCAGCUUGGGUUGCUGCAGAGGCAUAGGUUUGAUCACUGCCCAGUGUAUGGGUUAAAGGAUCCAGCUGCAGUAUAGUUUGCAGCUAUAGCUAAGAUUCAGUCCCUAGCCUAGGAACUUCCAUAUGCCAUGAGUGCAGCCAUGAAAAAAUAAUAUUAAUAAAAUAAAAUAAAAUCACAAAUGCAUGGGAUGGAGACUUAAAAUAAAAUUUAGGGUUCUUUUAGUUGGUGGUGUUAGAAACCAUUUCAGAUUAGGUUAAGGAAUGGAACAAAAUGUAUUGGCUUAAAACUGUAUGAUCUUAUGUCUCUUCAAAUUCUAGGAAUUGCACUAGCUUCAGGCAUGGCUUGAUCAAGGUGCUAAGUGACAUCAGCCAUCUCGACAUACUUUCUGUAUGUUUGCUUUAUUCUCAAGAUGACUCUGCAUAUGAUGUGGGAUGGUCACCAGCAGCUCCUGACUCCCAUCCUAGCUCUUUAAAAACUGUAUCAAAAAGAUAGCAUGCCCUUCUUAAUAAUUCCAGAAAGAACAUUAGGGCAGAUUCUCUGUGACUCUUAUUGACCUAACUUGGGUUAUAACCAUCACUGUGGUCAUGAAGUUGCAUUGCUCUGAUCAGCCAAGCCUAGAUUGUUUGGUCAUUUCUAAAGAUCCCUAGGACGGACCAGCUCAACUUGAAUCACUGUGACCAAGAGGGGAGAAGAGGUAUCAUCCAAAGGAAAGGUGAGGUCUUGUUGCCAAAUAGAUGGAAAGGGAAAGUGAUGCCAGCUAGGAAAAUAAAAUGAGAUGGGGGUGUGGGAGAAGAAGAAGGGAGAGGAGGAGGAGAGGGAGGGAGGGAAGGAAGGAAGAAAAGAAAGUAAAAAAGUCAGCUAACCCAUGCCUGGAAUCCUAAUCCAUGGAAAAUGGGAGAGAAUAUACAUUUAUUGUUUUAAGCCACUAAAUUUGUGGUAAAUUGUUAUGUAGCAAUAGAAAACCAAUAAAGGGGUAAAAGCAACAAUGCAUGUAAAAUGCACAAACUUAGCAGGGUGCCUAAGUGUUCAAUAUUAGCUAUUCCUAAUAUUAUAAUGAGAGAAUUAGGCAUUGUAGGUUCAAGACAGUAGAAGGCUAUAAAUCCAUCAGAGAUAAAACUUGUGCGCUGGGUGGACCCCCAUCUGGGGCCAUGCUUCCAUGAAAGAGAGGGCUUCUUUGCAGACAUCUAUACAGCCAAAAGAUGACCAAGCUGAUGAAACAUUUAUUUGAAAUACAAUUUAUCAUCAUCUAAUUUCAGCAGAAAACAGUUUAGUAUAAUGGGAACCGAUCCAGAGUAUUAGUGUUGGAAAGGCACCAAGCUUACCCAAUAAUGAGGUGAGAACAGGUAAGGAGGAACAGGUGUUUCCAACAAGCUCAGUUUUAAAAUUCUAAAAUUGGGUUCAUCCAGGCUUUGGAAACUAAAAGAAAGGAAAGUAACAUUUUAUUGAGCACCUGCCAGAUGGUCUCAAAUACAUUAUUGUGUUUAACAGGAAUAGUUGAUAGGGAAGAAAUUGUCAUCUCUAUUUUAUGGGUGAGGAGGGACAUUAAAGAAGACAAGGUCAGGGACGCUAAGUGACAUGCCCAAGGUCCCCCAGGACCCCCGGAUAGCUUUGGUGGUGGGGCGAGUCCUUGGCAUCUACCAUGAUGGGGUUGUAAUAUGUGUAUGUGAAAGAAAUCUUGACCCAAAAGAAAGAAAGGAGAAUGGAUGAGUGGGGAAAGGAGCCAGACAACCUUGAUUUAACAACUCUGACCUUUGGCUCAACUUGU